rnacentral:rRNA from 1 species
UACGUAGGGGGGCAAGCGUUGUCCGGAUUUAUUGGGCGUAAAGAGCGUGUAGGCGGUUAGGUAGGUCCGUUGUGAAAACUCGAGGCUCAACCUCGAGACGCCGAUGGAAACCAUCUGACUAGAGUCCGGAAGAGGAGAGUGGAAUUCCUGGUGUAGCGGUGAAAUGCGCAGAUAUCAGGAGGAACACCGAUGGCGAAGGCAGCUCGCUGGGACGGUAUUGACGCUGAGGCGCGAAAGCGUGGGGAGCGAACAGG